CCUCGUAAUAAUCAGGCCCAGCAGGGGAACAAUGCAGCUAGGUCUGGAAACACAAGCGGGGGGCGAAACCGCAUGUAUGCAUUGACAGGCCGUCAGGAUACAGAAGCUCGAGCAGAUGUUGUUACAGGUACGGAGUUACAGGACGACGCUUCUGAUCAUUAGGAUUUACUCGUACCAGCUUAUCGGUGAGCCCCAUCUCAUUCGGGGUUUAAACAUUGUAUUUCUCUGUUUAGUUUUGCAUGUAAAGGUAUGAUGGGGGCCUUGUCCCAGUAAUUAUGUUUUCCAGUCAGACUCAUGAUAGAGGUUUCAUAGACUAGACCAGUCAGUUAUGUUAUGUCAGACAUUUGGAGUCGUAUAGCCAUUUUGGCUCACUCAUGUUUUAAACAAGUACUUUAUUAAGUAUUAUGAAUUAUUACGUUUUACAAA